CAGUCGACGGCAGCACGGGUGCUUGCACCUGGUGGCGAGUGGCGAACGGGUGAGUAAUACAUCGGAACGUACCUUAUCGUGGGGGAUAACGCAGCGAAAGCUGUGCUAAUACCGCAUACGCCCUGAGGGGGAAAGCGGGGGAUCGAAAGACCUCGCGCGAUUAGAGCGGCCGAUGCCUGAUUAGCUUGUUGGUGGGGUAAAAGCCCACCAAGGCGACGAUCAGUAGCUGGUCUGAGAGGACGAUCAGCCACACUGGGACUGAGACACGGCCCAGACUCCUACGGGAGGCAGCAGUGGGGAAUUUUGGACAAUGGGGGAAACCCUGAUCCAGCAAUGCCGCGUGAGUGAAGAAGGCCUUCGGGUUGUAAAGCUCUUUUGUCAGGGAAGAAACACCGGCUCUAACACAGUCCGGGAAUGACGGUACCUGAAGAAUAAGCACCGGCUAACUACGUGCCAGCAGCCGCGGUAAUACGUAGGGUGCGAGCGUUAAUCGGAAUUACUGGGCGUAAAGCGUGCGCAGGCGGUUAUACAAGACAGGCGUGAAAUCCCCGGGCUUAACCUGGGAAUGGCGCCUGUGACUGUAUAGCUAGAGUGUGUCAGAGGGGGGUAGAAUUCCACGUGUAGCAGUGAAAUGCGUAGAUAUGUGGAGGAAUACCAAUGGCGAAGGCAGCCCCCUGGGAUAACACUGACGCUCAUGCACGAAAGCGUGGGGAGCAAACAGGAUUAGAUACCCUGGUAGUCCACGCCCUAAACGAUGCUGACUAGUUGUUCGGGAUUUACAUCCUGAGUAACGUAGCUACGCGUGAAGUCAGCCGCCUGGGGAGUACGGUCGCAGAUUAAACUCAAGGAAUUGACGG
rnacentral:rRNA from 1 species